GGCACGGGUCUAGAGCCUUCCCAUCCACAUGCACUGCUUUAGAACCUUCCCUCAGUGGCCGAUAGGUCGUGUUGGGAUCUUUGCUUAAGAACGCGUUGACCUCAGGCUGUUCAGGGUUUAAUACCCAGCUGGAGGUAAGGUCAAAAUACACUGACUUCUUUUUCACGACGUACAUUUGUCUGUAUGUCCCCUGUUGUUAGGAGUUAUUUUCUUGUGACUUUGUUGUUGUCAUUGAAAGCGGUCCCUUUUCACCUCUGGGGGCAAGUGACCGCCUCUGCAUUUUGCGGUAAGUUCUGAGUCCAGUCCCUUCAUCCGAGGUGUGUAAUGAAAGCACACUGCGUUCCCAGAGAAGGCUCCCACCUGCCGUCUGUUUGAUGUUACAGACCUCGGCGGUUGUGUACAGAUGUUACCAUGCCCGUGUUGAAUAUCCGUAUGUAUACGUGUGUGGCAUUAAUAUUGUGUGUGUGGAUGUAUGUGCAUUGGCGGGUAUAUAUAAAAGCGUGGGUGUGUGUUACAUGUCAUUGUAAACGACGUAUGGUAUAGGGACAUGAAUGUCCGUUUUGUCCAAGACCAAAAACAUGUGUUUAUGACAGAAUAUGGAAAUUUUUUUCUUUGUCUUUUUAGGGCCGCACCUGUGGCAUAGGGUGGUUCCCAGGCUAGGGGUCUAAUCAGAGCUGUAGCCACUGGCCUACGCCAGAGCCACAGCAACGCGGGAUCUGAGCCGAGUCUGCAACCUACACCACAGCUCACGGCAACGCCGGAUCCUUAACCCACUGAGCAAGGCCAGGGACCGAACCCGCAACCUCAUGGUUCCUAGGCGGAUUCGUUAACCACUGCGCCACGACGGGAACUCUCUGGCUUUUUUUAAAAGAUGAGGAAUGAACUGGGUUUUCGUCAGUGUCCCUGUAAACUUAAUCUGGAGGUUCUUAUACAAAUGCAGACUCCUGACCCCACCUUGGACCAUGUGGGACCUCCAAGUGUGGGCUUUUAAGCAAAGUUCUUUAGGCACUGUCACCUGCGCUCCCAGGAACACCUCCUACAAGGAGGUGCAGAGGCUGGAGGGAGAGACGAGCCUUGGGCCCCCUAAAGACCACAGCGCGGAGGACAGCUCACGCCACACCCACUGACCAUGGCAGCGCAGGGAUUCCAGCGGCAGCACGCAUUUAACGCGUGCCAAUCCUCAUUCAUAUUGCUUUCUCAGUCUUUGCAGCCACGAUCUACCAAGGCAUCAAAUCAAGGUCUGGAAACAUGACGUUUUUAGCGGAGGAAAUGGCCUUGAUCAAAACCAGGUUUUUAGUGGUGAUCCUCGAAUGAAGUAGCCCAUUAUCAGCUUCCUACAGAUCUCCGCAGAGCUGUUCCCAGGCAGCAGGGAAGCAGGCUUCACCAGGGCCACUUCCCUGGCCAUCACGCCUACUGCGAGUGAGUCAUGCCUUUUGUCCUGUGCCUGGAAUUUGGGGAUGUUUAUGAAAAGCUGUUGUAAAUACAAGUCCUAAUUCCUCUUUUCACAAGAUUCUUUAUUUCAGCAAAAUGAGUAGCCCCUCACGUACAAAUAUCAUGUCACUUCCAGUCCCAUUGUCACCUGGAAAUAUCCUCUCGGGCUCUUUUACUAGAGAUUAUUUAAAGGCGUUUGAGGACACCGUGCCAUGGAAGUCCUCCAGGGAACAUGGUUUCUGGGUUCCUGCCAAUCCUAUGAAAAUACGCUUCUGCGUCAACUGUACCUCCUUCAUCUUUGGAGGGCAGAAGGUGGAGCUUGGCAUGAAAAAAGAAAUGCUCAUGAAAGGCAAAGUAUCUCUUUAACGCCGACUUUUGGAGGUUAAUGUCUGCUUCCCUGUUUCAUUUAAGGUCCCCACGUAGGUGGCAGCGUAGUUCACACAUGAUCCCGACGACCUUCUUCCUCAGCAGUGAAACCUUAUCUUCAAAGUAAACGGCUCCGAUAUUACACAUUAACAUUUGAAGCUAGAGUGCGAUGUUGGUCACUUUUUACAAGCAGAGAGUGGGUCCCUUGAGCUUUCUUGCUGGGUGGCAUCUCGCGGCUUCCUCCUGACACCCUCCAGCAUGGUGUUAGGCUAGACCAGAUGCGUACAGUAAAGCCGGACAUCGCCCAGCCCGCCCGGCUGGUCUCAAGCCAAACAAACAAAGCCCAUGAAGAAGACGGCAUUCCACUGAAUCCCUGGUAACAGAAACACCUGCAGAUGUUAUGUAAACUGUCACUUAUCCCUGUUUGGACUCGGCGCAUGUUAACGGAGGGAGAAGAGAAAGUUGGAAAUAAAACGGUCGGAUGUGUGGGUCUGAUCAAUAGUCUGGGAGAAAUAAGUGCACUACUUACGGAAGCAAGUAUUUAAAACAGAGUUUUUUAAAGAAAGAAAUGACGGUGUCUAAGGGACAUACUGAAAUAGAGUUGUCCGGAAGUAGGUGCAGUUACAUUCGUGCAAAUUUCAGCUAUUUUUCAAGGCUCUGAGGCAGGUGAAUUAUUAACUGGGCGUUUGGUGUAAUUUGACCGUUUGACAACAAGAUGAGAAAGAAGGCAGCCUGGGAAACACUGGCCUUGAUUUUUAAUUCUGUUCAAUAGAAGAUAGUAACAAAGGCCUCUUUCAUGGGUGGUUUAAAACUCUGGAGAGCAGAAUUUCUCAAACGAGUGUGUAUGCACAUUACCUGGAGACUUUGCUAAAUGCAGAUUCUGGUUUAACGGGUGUGAGGCAGGGCCUGAGAAUCUGCAUUUUGAGGACGCUCCCAGGUGAAGCCCACCCAGCUGAUGGGAGGAGCAGGCUGAGUAGUCGGCACCCUUGGUUGUGCUGUCUCUUGGCAGUUGUGGAACACAGCGGAUCUGUGGCCACAGGAACCACGAGAAGCUCUGCAUCUCACAGCUGCAGUGCAGAAAGCCCUGAACACCCGGACGACGGGUCCAGCCAGCCACCCUAACCCUCGCAGCUGCCAACCUGCUUGGCUCUGUUAUCCAUCAGAGUCCUUGUUCUGAGAUUCAAAAGUGUGCUUUACACCUUCCAGUGAGACGAUCGCGUGCCACUAUAGAGAUGGCUGUGGGUAGUGAUGACUUGCCGGCUUCAUCAGAGACAACAGGGUUCCAGUGUCACAGAGAAAUCUGGGCCCCACAGACCGCAUCCUUUUGGGAGAAGCCGUUGGAAAUGGACGUUGCUGUCAACGUCUUCCUCUCAGGAUGAGCUCCCAUUUUUCUUCCCAUAUCCCCAGUCCUGCUUGUUGUUUUAUUUCACAAAAUGUGUUAGUGGAAUUUUAUCAGGAAUGAGAGACAUCUGGUGCUAGUUGUUCUGCCACAGAGAAACACUAGGGAUUUUGGAAAUUCAGGUCAAGGCCAAAGGCAAAGUCCUGUGUGGAGAGGUUGCAGCUAAAUCCCUAGGUCAGCCAGGACUGAGUUUGUACCGUUGACAUGAUUGUGUUUGGUUAAGAAUCACAGGGUUGGAGUUCCCAUUGUGGCUCAGAGGGUUAAGAGCUUGACAUAGUGUCCGUGAGGAUGCGGGUUUGAUCCCUGGCUUUACUCAGUGGGUUAAGGAUCUGGUGUUGCUGUGAGCAUUGGUGUAGGUCGCCGACCCGGCUUGGAUCCCAUGUUGCCGUGGCUGGGGGUGGGGGCGGAUCGGAAGCUGCAGCUCUGAUUGGACCUCUAGCCUGGGAACCUCCAUAUGCCAAAGGUGCAGCCCUAAAAAAAAAAAAAAAAAAAA
rnacentral:lncRNA from 1 species